rnacentral:rRNA from 1 species
GACAGAGGGUGCAAACGUUGUUCGGAAUUACUGGGCGUAAAGCGCGUGUAGGCUGCUCGGAAAGUCGGGUGUGAAAGCCCUGGGCUCAACCUAGGAAGUGCACUCGAAACUUCCGAGCUGGAGUGCUGGAGAGGAAGGCGGAAUUCUCGGUGUAGAGGUGAAAUUCGUAGAUAUCGAGAGGAACACCUGCGGCGAAGGCGGGUUGCUGGGCCGCCACUGACGCUGAUGCGCGAAAGCCAGGGGAGCGAACGGG